AUAUUCCUGCAGGUGGUCACAUGCCAGGAGCAGACGUUGACGCUGCCCUUAGCCCAGUGCCAGGAUUUCCAAAGGACUCAGAGAUCAGACCCUCAGCUUCUGCUCUGCUGGAUUCCUCUGCCUUCCGGAAGGAAGUUACUAGUCAUCUUCCUGGUGUGUGACUCCUGAGAAAAUUCAGAUUUCCUGGAGAACGUUUUAAAGGUCUAAUAGCUGAAGAAAAGGACACAAGUAUCUUUGGAUCCUCCUGCCAGGAUGGACAGAGCUGUAAUGUUUGCUUAUAUUUCAGCUCCACCUGCUCCUUAUUGUGUCUGUCUUCACCAUGCAGCUACUGAAGAAAAAAGACGCCAGAACCUUACUGAGGCCUCUCCAAAAGGUCACAGAGCAGCUCACAUCAUGGAAGCCAGCUGAUGUCGGAGGAACAGUCG